UGCAAACCCACCCUCUUGUUCUUUCCCUACUUAAACAGUGUCUGUAUGUCUGUCCUUAGAGGUCCUCUGAUUCCUGGAGUGUAAAGAAGAGCAGCUCCCACCAGUUCAGCUUCAAUGCAAACCAUGUUCCCUGCAUCUCUACUGCUGCUGGCAGCUGUAUCCUGUGUCUACUGUGAUAUUGAACUCAUCCAGUCUGGUCCAGUGGUUAUAGAACCAGGAGUGUCUUUCAGCAUCUCCUGCAAAUUCUCUGGGUUUUCUAUAUCUUCUUACUGUCUUCGCUGGAUACGACAAGCUGAAGGCAAAGCUUUGGAGUAUGUUGGUUAUACAUGCAGUAGUAGUACUUACACUGUAGACUCACUAAAGAGCAAGAUCACUUCUAGAUAUGACAGUUCCAGCAGUACAGUGUUUCUACAAGGGAACAACUUCCAGACUGAAGACACAGCUGUGUAUUAUUGUGCCCGUGAGACACAGUGGCACAAACCAUGACCAGGCUCUACAAAAACCCUUCCUUCAUUGUAGCUUAUAAUAGACUUGUUAAUUUAAACAGAACAGAGAUGUUUCUCAAUUUCACAUUUGUAAACGAUUUCAUACCCAGUACUGGCGGUGCUGGAAAUGUAUAUCUGAGUUGUUUGCCAAUUAUACUCCUGAUAUGAAUUGAAUGGUAUUCUAAUU